rnacentral:rRNA from 1 species
GCUCUUGAUUGAAGUCCCAGUAAACGGCGGCCGUAACUAUAACGGUCCUAAGGUAGCGAAAUUCCUUGUCGGGUAAGUUCCGACCUGCACGAAUGGCGUAACGAUGGCCACACUGUCUCCUCCCGAGACUCAGCGAAGUUGAAAUGUUUGUGAUGAUGCAAUCUACCCGCGGCUAGACGGAAAGACCCCAUGAACCUUUACUGUAGCUUUGCAUUGGACUUUGAACCAAUCUGUGUAGGAUAGGUGGGAGGCUUUGAAGUAGGGACGCUAGUCUCUAUGGAGCCAACCUUGAAAUACCACCCUGGUUUGUUUGAGGUUCUAACCUUGGUCCGUUAUCCGGAUCGGGGACAGUGCAUGGUAGGCAGUUUGACUGGGGCGGUCUCCUCCCAAAGUGUAACGGAGGAGUUCGAAGGUACGCUAGGUACGGUCGGACAUCGUGCUAAUAGUGCAAUGGCAUAAGCGUGCUUAACUGCGAGACUGACAAGUCGAGCAGGUACGAAAGUAGGACAUAGUGAUCCGGUGGUUCUGUAUGGAAGGGCCAUCGCUCAACGGAUAAAAGGUACUCUGGGGAUAACAGGCUGAUUCCUCCCAAGAGUUCAUAUCGACGGGGGAGUUUGGCACCUCGAUGUCGGCUCAUCACAUCCUGGGGCUGUAGCCGGUCCCAAGGGUAUGGCUGUUCGCCAUUUAAAGUGGUACGUGAGCUGGGUUUAAAACGUCGUGAGACAGUUUGGUCCCUAUCUGCCGUGGGCGUUGGAAGUUUGAAGGGGGCUGCUCCUAGUACGAGAGGACCGGAGUGGACGAACCUCUGGUGUAUCGGUUGUCACGCCAGUGGCAUUGCCGAGUAGCUAAGUUCGGAAGAGAUAACCGCUGAAAGCAUCUAAGCGGGAAACUCGCCUUGAGAUGAGACUUCCCGGGAACUAGAUUCCCCUAAAGGGUCGUUCGAGACCAGGACGUUGAUAGGUCAGGUGUGGAAGCGCAGUAAUGCGUUAAGCUAACUGAUACUAAUUGCCCGUGCGGCUUGUUCCU